GAGAGGGUGCAAGCCUUAAUCGGAAUUACUGGGCGUAAAGCGUACGUAGGCGGUUUUGUCAGUCAGAUGUGAAAGCCCUGGGCUUAACCUGGGAACUGCAUUUGAUACUGCAAGGCUAGAGAUCGGUAGAGGAGAGUGGAAUUUCCGGUGUAGCGGUGAAAUGCGUAGAUAUCGGAAGGAACACCAAUGGCGAAGGCAACUCUCUGGGCCUGAUCUGACGCUGAGGUACGAAAGCGUGGGUAGCGAACAGGAUUAGAUACCCUGGUAGUCCACGCCGUAAACGAUGUCCACUAAGUGUCGGGGAAAGCUGACUUUUCCGGUACCGCAGCUAACGCAUUAAGUUGACCGCCUGGGGAGUACGCGCGCAGCGUUAAAACUCAAAGGAAUUGACGGGGACCCGCACAAGCGGUGGAACAUGUUGUUUAAUUCGAUGCAACGCGAAGAACCUUACCAGGCCUUGACAUCC
rnacentral:rRNA from 1 species